rnacentral:rRNA from 1 species
AACGAACGCUGGCGGCAUGCCUAACACAUGCAAGUCGAACGAGACCUUCGGGUCUAGUUGCGCACGGGUGCGUAACGCGUGGGAACCUUCCCUUAGGUUCGGAAUAACUCCCCGAAAGGGGUGCUAAUACCGGAUAAUGCCUUCGGACCAAAGAUUUAUCGCCUUUGGAUGGGCCCGCGUUGGAUUAGCUAGUUGGUAGGGUAAAAGCCUACCAAGGCGACGAUCCAUAGCUGGUCUGAGAGGAUGAUCAGCCACACUGGGACUGAGACACGGCCCAGACUCCUACGGGAGGCAGCAGUGGGGAAUAUUGGACAAUGGGCGAAAGCCUGAUCCAGCAAUGCCGCGUGAGUGAUGAAGGCCUUAGGGUUGUAAAGCUCUUUUAACCGGGAUGAUAAUGACAGUACCGGGAGAAUAAGCGCCGGCUAACUCCGUG